UACAGAGGUCCCGAGCGUUGUUCGGAUUCAUUGGGCGUAAAGGGUGCGUAGGCGGCGGGGCAAGUCUGAUGUGAAAUCCCGGGGCUCAACCCCCGGAACUGCAUUGGAUACUGCCUUGCUUGAGUACUGGAGAGGGAACUGGAAUUUACGGUGUAGCAGUGAAAUGCGUAGAGAUCGUAAGGAAGGCCAGUGGCGAAGGCGAGUUCCUGGACAGUUACUGACGCUGAGGCACGAAGGCCAGGGGGAGCAAACGGG
rnacentral:rRNA from 1 species